CCUGGCGGCACUAGCGCGGUGGUCCCACCUGACCCCAUGCCGAACUCAGAAGUGAAACGCCGUAGCGCCGAUGGUAGUGUGGGGUCUGCCCAUGCGAGAGUAGGGAACUGCCAGGC
rnacentral:rRNA from 1 species